AAAAAAAGCGCUUAGAAAAUAAACACUUCCAUUACGUGUUUUGACCUAAACAUGUAUAAGAUUGUGUUUAACGGCUAAACACUUAGGUCUAAACGUGUGUUAGAUUGUGUUUAACGGCUAAACACUUAUGUCUAAACGUGUGUUAUAUCUAAAUGAUGUUAAGAUUUAACACAUGUUUAGAUAUAAAUGUUUAGAAAUUGAACACUUUUCUGUGAAGUACAGAGUUAUCUUCCCGGAAAUGACGCAUAUAUAUUCGAAUGAUAAAUAGAGCGGUUAUCGAAACAAAGGAAAUCCCAAUGUUAGCUAAAGAAGAUGGAUUAAAGGAAGUGAAUGCUAAUCAAAGUGAUAACCAUGAAGAGAUUGUGAAAUGCAUUUAAACUGCAACAUUACUGCGAUAAAAGGAUAUGGUCCACAUCGAACUUGAAAGCAGAAAUACACGUAUCAGAGAAACUGACUCUCCAAGUCCACACUUCUUACUUUCUAGGGGAAACUGAGUUUUGUGAAGUCUGCUGUUCGUUAUAGCUUUGAACAACCUAAAAUAUUCUCAAAUAAUAACAAGUGGAUUACCUACUGACGGUCACAGAUGAAAACAAAUUAUGCGUGUGUUGCUCAGUGAAAAAUUGCUGGAAGUUAAACUUGAUACAGACAUGAGGAAUAACUGCUUGCUAAUCUGGUUAGAAUUAAAACCAGCGUGUAAAAAUAUAAUGUAUAUUUAAUUUAAAAUUCUUUAUAAAUAAUCCAUGCUUGAAUGUUCAUUGAAUAAAAUUUAAAAUGUAAACAAUUGUUAUUUUUUCAGUUUUCUUGCAGGAAGACAACGAAAACAUCCAAGUGUUUAGUUUGUAAACAUGUAUCAUAACAUGUUUUGUAAAGUGUUUAAAGUCUAAACAUGUAAGUGUUUUGGCUCUAAACACUUUCCGUUACACGUAAUGAAAUUCAAUGUGUUUAGAAUUUCAACGCAUCCCAAAAAGUGUGACAAGAAAGUGCUUAGGAAAGUGUCUAUCAUCUAAACACAUUUUUUACAGUGUAUCUGUGGUACAGUUUUUGUUGUUUUAAA